UGGGGUGUGGCUCAAUGGUAGAGCACUUGCCUGGCAUGUGUGAGGCAUUGUGUUUGAUCCUCAGCACCACAU
rnacentral:tRNA from 1 species